CCUACGGGAAGCAGCAGUAAGGAAUAUUGGUCAAUGGAGGCAACUCUGAACCAGCCAUGCCGCGUGCAGGAUGACGGCCCUAUGGGUUGUAAACUGCUUUUAUACAAGAGAAAACCCUGGUACGUGUACCAGGUUGAUAGUAUUGUAAGAAUAAGCAUCGGCUAACUUCGUGCCAGCAGCCGCGGUAAGACGAAGGAUGCAAGCGUUAUCCGGAUUCAUUGGGUUUAAAGGGUGCGUAGGCGGACUGAUAAGUCAGUGGUGAAAUCUCUUUGCUUAAUAAAGAAACUGCCAUUGAUACUGUCGGUCUAGAGUAUAGAUGACGUUGGCGGAAUAUGACAUGUAGUGGUGAAAUACUUAGAUAUGUCAUAGAACACCGAUUGCGAAGGCAGCUAACGAAACUAUAAACUGACGCUGAGGCACGAAAGUGCGGGGAUCAAACAGGAUUAGAUACCCUGGUAGUCCGCACCGUAAACGAUGAUUACUCGUUGUUGGCGAUAUGACAGUCAGCGACCAAGCGAAAGCGAUAAGAAUCCACCUGGGGAGUACGCCGGCAACGGUGAAACUUAAAGGAAUUGACGG
rnacentral:rRNA from 1 species